UACGUAGGGGCGAGCGUUAUCCGGAAUUAUUGGGCGUAAAGGGUUCGCAGGCGGCCUUGUAAGUCAGAUGUGAAAGACAGCGGCUUAACCGUUGUAAGCAUUUGAAACUGCAGGGCUUGAGUACAGGAGAGGAAAGCGGAAUUCCUAGUGUAGCGGUGAAAUGCGUAGAUAUUAGGAGGAACACCAGUGGCGAAGGCGGCUUUCUGGACAGUAACUGACGCUGAGGCGCGAAAGCGUGGGGAGCAAACAGGAUUAGAUACCCGGGUAGUCCCUGA
rnacentral:rRNA from 1 species